CUGGCGGCUGCUACACUGCAGUCGAGCGGAAGAUGGGAGCUUGCUCCCUGAUGUUUGCGGCGGACGGGUGAGUAACACCUGAGUAACCUGCCUGUAAGACUGGGAUAACUCCGGGAAACCGGGGCUAAUACCGGAUGGUUGUUUGAACCGCAUGGUUCAAACAUAAAAGGUGGCUUCGGCUACCACUUACAUAUGGACCCGCGGCGCAUUAGCUAAUUGGUGAGGUAACGGCUCUCAAGGCCACGAUGCAUAGCCGACCUGAGAGGGUGAUCGGCCACACUGGGACUGAGACACGGCCCAAACUCCUACGGGAGGUUUUGUAGGGAAUCUUCCGCAAUGGACGAAAGUCUGACGGAGCAACACCACGUGAGUGAUGAAGGUUUUCGGAUCGUACAGCUCUGUUGUUACGGAAGAACAAAUACCGUUCAAAUAAGGGGGUACCUUGACGGUACCUAACCAAAAUACCUCGGCUAACUACCUGCCAGCAGCCGCGGUAAUACGUAGGUGGCAAGCGUUGUCCGGAAUUAUUGCGCGUAAAGGUCUCACAGGCGGUUUCUUAAUUCUGAUGUGUAAGCCCCCGGCUCAACCUGGGAGGGUCAUUGUAAACUGUGUCAACUUGAGUGCAGAAUACGAGAGUGAAUUACAUUUGAUUCGUGUAU
rnacentral:rRNA from 1 species